CCGCGCCUACGGGGGGCAGCAGUAGGGAAUCUUCCACAAUGGGCGAAAGCCUGAUGGAGCAACGCCGCGUGGGUGAAGAAGGUCUUCGGAUCGUAAAACCCUGUUGUUAGAGAAGAAAGUGCGUGAGAGUAACUGUUCACGUUUCGACGGUAUCUAACCAGAAAGCCACGGCUAACUACGUGCCAGCAGCCGCGGUAAUACGUGGGUGGCAAGCGUUAUCCGAAUUUAUUGGGCGUAAAGGGAACGCAGGCGGUCUUUUAAGUAUGAUGUGAAAGCCUUCGGCUUAACCGGGGUA
rnacentral:rRNA from 1 species